rnacentral:rRNA from 1 species
AACGAACGCUGGCGGCAGGCUUAACACAUGCAAGUCGAACGGGUGUAGCAAUACAUCAGUGGCAGACGGGUGAGUAACACGUGGGAACCUUCCUAGGGGUACGGAACAACUCAGGGAAACUUGAGCUAAUACCGUAUACGUCCGUAAGGAGAAAGAUUCAUCGCCCCUAGACGGGCCCGCGUCGGAUUAGGUAGUUGGUGGGGUAACGGCCUACCAAGCCUACGAUCCGUAGCUGAUCUGAGAGGANGAUCAGCCACACUGGGACUGAGACACGGCCCAGACUCCUACGGGAGGCAGCAGUGGGGAAUCUUGGACAAUGGGCGCAAGCCUGAUCCAGCCAUGCCGCGUGAGUGAAGAAGGCCUUAGGGUUGUAAAGCUCUUUUACCAGGGACGAUAAUGACGGUA